rnacentral:lncRNA from 1 species
UUUUUCUCUUUACGAAGAAAUUGAAUACAACAAUCAAUAUAUUAUUUUUAAUUAUUCAUUGCAAUGAUUGUCAUAAUGUUGAUUCAAAUUAUUACCAAAUUUGAAAAAUAUUCUAAAGUGAUCUUUCCUGCAUUAAUAUUAAUUGCUUAUGGGCCUGUUGCACCAUUUUUACAAGUGGAGCACCUCUCCCAUUUAAUCACCAUUAUUUUCUUUUCAUUUUAUUCACGUGCACCCCCCUUUUUUUCUUUUUUCCUUCCUCCUUUUUUUUUAUCUCUUUUUCCUUUUUUUUCUUUUUACUUUUAUUUUUGCUUCUUUUUUUUUAUUCUUUCUUCGUUUCUUUUUUUUCUUUUUUUCUUUUUAAAAUAACAAAAU